rnacentral:rRNA from 1 species
UACGUAGGGUGCGAGCGUUAAUCGGAAUUACUGGGCGUAAAGCGUGCGCAGGCGGUUUUGUAAGCCAGAUGUGAAAUCCCCGGGCUUAACCUGGGAAUGGCAUUUGGGACUGCAAGGCUGGAGUGCGGCAGAGGAGACUGGAAUUCCUGGUGUAGCAGUGGAAUGCGUAGAUAUCAGGAGGAACACCGAUGGCGAAGGCAGGUCUCUGGGCUGACACUGACGCUCAUGCACGAAAGCGUGGGGAGCAAACAGG